rnacentral:tRNA from 1 species
GGUCCGUUCGUCUAGCUGGCCCAGGACGCUAGGUUUUCAUCCUAGAAAUCAGGGGUUCGAAUCCCCUACGGACUA